rnacentral:rRNA from 1 species
GAUGAACGCUAGCUACAGGCUUAACACAUGCAAGUCGAGGGGAAACGGGCGCCAAGCUUGCUUGGUGCAGUCGUCGACCGGCGAAUGGGUGAGUAACGCGUAUCCAACCUGGCCGUAAGCAGAGAAUAGGCUUCCGAAAGAAAGAUUAAUGCUCUAUGUAGUCACCCGAAGACAUCGGAAGGUGACCAAAGAUCCGUCGCUUACGGAUGGGGAUGCGUCUGAUUAGGCAGUUGGCGGGGCAAAGGCCCACCAAACCGACGAUCAGUAGGGGUUCUGAGAGGAAGGUCCCCCACAUUGGAACUGAGACACGGUCCAAACUCCUACGGGAGGCAGCAGUGAGGAAUAUUGGUCAAUGGGCGAGAGCCUGAACCAGCCAAGUAGCGUGCAGGACGACGGCCCUAUGGGUUGUAAACUGCUUUUG